rnacentral:rRNA from 1 species
UACAGAGGGUGCAAGCGUUGUUCGGAAUUACUGGGCGUAAAGGGCGCGUAGGCGGCUUGGCAAGUGGAUGGUGAAAUCCCUCGGCUUAACCGAGGAACUGCCGUCCAAACUGCUUCGCUUGAGACCGGGAGAGGUGAGUGGAAUUCCCAGUGUAGCGGUGAAAUGCGUAGAUAUUGGGAGGAACACCAGUGGCGAAGGCGGCUCACUGGACCGGUACUGACGCUGAGGAGCGAAAGCGUGGGGAGCGAACAGG